rnacentral:tRNA from 1 species
GUUUUAAUAGUUUAAUAUAAAAAUACUGAUUUUGUAAAUCAAAGAUAAGAAAAAUCUUUUAAAACU